rnacentral:rRNA from 1 species
GAGUUUGAUCCUGGCUCAGGAUAAACGCUGGCGGUGCACAUAAGACAUGCAAGUCGAACGAACUUAACUCAUUCUUCUAGAUUGAGAGCGGUUAGUGGCGGACUGGUGAGUAACGCGUAAGGAACCUGCCUUUUAGAGGGGAAUAACAAUGAGAAAUCAUUGCUAAUACCGCAUAUGCCAUAAUUAUCACAUGAUAAUAGUGGGAAAGGAGCAAUUCGCUAAAAGAUGGCCUUGCGUCUGAUUAGAUAGUUGGUAAGGUAACGGCUUACCAAGUCGACGAUCAGUAGCCGGACUGAGAGGUUGAACGGCCACAUUGGGACUGAGAUACGGCCCAGACUCCUACGGGAGGCAGCAGUCGGGAAUAUUGCGCAAUGGAGGAAACUCUGACGCAGUGACGCCGCGUAAAGGGAGAAGGUUUUCGGAUUGUAAACUAUUGUCGUUAGGGAA